CAAGACAACUUUACGGAGUUGACGAUUGACGGAGCGAAGCGACGUCAAAGCGUUCAUUAAAGUCGAGUUGGCUUAGGGAUACGUUCGUUGGGUAGGGGAGCGUUCUGUAAGCCUGUGAAGGUGUGUCGUGAGGCAUGCUGGAGGUAUCAGAAGUGCGAAUGCUGACAUAAGUAACGAUAAAGCGGGUGAAAAGCCCGCUCGCCGGAAGACCAAGGGUUCCUGUCCAACGUUAAUCGGGGCAGGGUGAGUCGACCCCUAAGGCGAGGCCGAAAGGCGUAGUCGAUGGGAAACGGGUUAAUAUUCCCGUACUUGGUGUUACUGCGAAGGGGGGACGGAGAAGGCUAUGUUGGCCGGGCGACGGUUGUCCCGGUUUAAGCGUGUAGGUGUGUGUUCCAGGUAAAUCCGGUUCACUUUAACACUGAGGCGUGACGACGAGGCACUACGGUGCUGAAGCAACAAAUGCCCUGCUUCCAGGAAAA
rnacentral:rRNA from 1 species